UCCAGGUGGAGACCAAAUUCCACCAAAACCACAUUUGGGUCAGCUGAACCCUAAUCAGCGAAAUGGGACUGGGUUCUGGGGCAACUGAUCUGGAUCUAUUUGUCUGUGUCGUCCUAUUUUAUUGUAUCUUUCUAAUCUAUAGUUUACCUUAAUCUAAUCCAAUCUGGUUUUUAUACCACGCUCACCCCCAUAGUAUAUGAGCAUCACAUGAGUUUUAAAAAGACAAUUUCUUUACCAAUGUUGUUUAUAUCUUAAUUUCUCUCCCUCCAGCCCCACCCACGGAUGUUAUUUAUUAUUUGCCUGACCAUAGCACUUCAUGCUAUGCCCAUUGUGCUAGGCGUGGUACAAACAAUUGUCUGUCUUUGGUACGUCUCUGUCCAUCAUUACCGUAGCAUCUGAGCGUCUCACCAUCUUAACGUAUUUAUCCUCACAACACCCCUGUGAGGGAGGCAGGUGCUAUUAUCCCCAUAUUGAUCCCCAAUCUCUCCCUUUGCCAGUCCCCUGCAUCUGUAAACUAAACAAUCCCAGGCCUUUCAAUCUCUCCUCACAUGGAGGGAGGGCUCCAGACCCACUCUGUUCACGUAUCUUUCUAGAGACAGGGUGAUCCACCCUGCAUGCCGGGAGUGCUCUCCAGCUGAGGCUGUUCCACUGAAUAUUUCAAGUCUGUUAUCAUUUUGAGGAUUGCUGGCUAUUUCAUUCUUUAAUCACCCUGGGCUUUGUUGGGAUUUUUGUUGUUUAGCAGCUGUUUCAGUUGAGCUGUCCCCAGCAAGGCUCGGGUUUUUUUUCCAGUCUGGUUAUGUGGAACCCAGUGUCUGAAGUUGUUCCUUUCAAAGUGCGCUACCUCGUAAUCUGCCAUCCUGCUGCCCAUUCCCGUAACUUGGCUCGGUGCCCCUGGAGUCCCACACAGAUUUUGCCAGUCUUGCCUAAAUAAUUUGGUGUCACCCACCAAUUUUGCCACCUCCUUGCUCAAUCCCUUCUCCAGAUCACUAGUAACUAUGUUAAACUGUGGCCUCCCAGAGCCUGGAUCUAUUAAUUUUUCAGGCAUGCUGCGAAGCCCAUGUCUUCUUGUAGGCUGCUAAGGAGGUUGGGGGGUUAUAGGCAGAGGGGCUGCAGAGCAGGGGCUCAUGUUACGGCUGAAUAAAAGAAUUGGUGAUUUUCUUUGGUGGGAGAUUCUCUCAAUGGUAUUUGAGUUAUUGGAAAUUUCAAAUGAAAUACUGUAGGGCUCCAUGUGAGAUAUUUAACAAUGAGUUUAAAAUGCCGAGAGGUGCCUAUUGGGGUGACUAGGUGGUGGAUAAACUGAAUAAAUCAAUAGGCUGCAAGCGCAGAUCCCUGUAUUUGCAGGUGUAGACAGCGAGUAAUCGAAGAUAAUAAUAAGGACUCGGGCUCAGCUGCUCAUUUCGUCUAAGACCCCGCCAAUCCUGUAGUUUUUCGCACGUUGCAAUUUUCCUGCAGCCGCCCAGAGCCCUGCUGACUUCACCGGUUCUCACUGUGGGUACAGGCUUUGAGCCCUAGUGUCUAUGCGUGUAGGUUAGGGCCCACGGGCGGGAUUCGGUCCACAAGCCAUUUUAAGGCAGCCCACGAGCCGCGCCACGUGGCUCAGGCCCUGCUCCAGCACUCCAGCCGGGGCACAGGGUCGGGGGCUGCACCACGUGGCUCCCGGAAGCUGCGGCAUGGCCCUGCUCCGGCUCCUAUGCGCUCAAAUGGGAGCCGGAGAAGGCACAUGCCACUGCUUCCGGGACCCGCUUGAGCUCGCUCUUCUCUGUCUCUCUGGAUUUCCUCCUCAGUCAGUGCACUGGUCUGCAAAGGAGAGCUGCUACAUAACAGGAAGCUGGUUUCAGGGCUGGAAUUGUUUUGUUCACACAAUGUCAUGCAUGCACUGGAAACCACAGCCUUGAGGUCUUGGCUGCACAGUGGGGGAGGCUUGCAGGUCCUCAGAAAGAUAUCUGCUCCGCUGGUUGGAACAGACGACCCUUCUCGAGCCAAAUUGGCCCAACUAGAAUUCUGCUGGGACAUACUCUAGCCGCAAAGAGAGCAGG